UACGGAGGAUGCGAGCGUUAUCCGGAUUUAUUGGGUUUAAAGGGUGCGUAGGCGGGUUAAUAAGUCAGUGGUGAAAACCUUCAGCUUAACUGGAGACUUGCCAUUGAUACUGUUAGUCUUGAGUACGGUCAAGGUAGGCGGAAUGUGUAAUGUAGCGGUGAAAUGCUUAGAUAUUACACAGAACACCGAUUGCGAAGGCAGCUUACUGGACCAAUACUGACGCUGAUGCACGAAAGCGUGGGGAGCGAACAGG
rnacentral:rRNA from 1 species